rnacentral:rRNA from 1 species
UACGAAGGGGGCUAGCGUUGCUCGGAAUCACUGGGCGUAAAGGUGCGUAGGCGGGUCUUUAAGUCAGGGGUGAAAUCCUGGAGCUCAACUCCAGAACUGCCUUUGAUACUGAAGAUCUUGAGUUCGGGAGAGGUGAGUGGAACUGCGAGUGUAGAGGUGAAAUUCGUAGAUAUUCGCAAGAACACCAGUGGCGAAGGCGGCUCACUGGCCCGAUACUGACGCUGAGGCACGAAAGCGUGGGAGCAAACAGG